rnacentral:rRNA from 1 species
AUUGAACGCUGGCGGCAGGCCUAACACAUGCAAGUCGAGCGAGGGGCGGACGGGUGAGUAAUGUAUGGGGACUGCCCGAUGGAGGGGGAUAACUACUGGAAACGGUAGCUAAUACCGCAUACUAUCGGAUAACCCAGAUGGGAUUAGCUAGUGGGUGAGGUAAUGGCUCACCUAGGCGACGAUCCCUAGCUGGUCUGAGAGGAUGAUCAGCCACACUGGGACUGAGACACGGUCCAGACUCCUACGGAGGCAGCAGUGGGGAAUAUUGCACAAUGGGCGCAAGCCUGAUGCAGCCAUGCCGCGUGUGUGAAGAAGGCCUUCGGGUUGUAAAGCACUUUCAGUCGGGAGGCGUUACCGACAGAAUAAGCACCGGCUAACUCCGUGCCAGCAGCCGCGGUAAUUC